AAUCCUACGGGGCGCAGCAGUGAGGAAUAUUGGUCAAUGGGCGGAAGCCUGAACCAGCCAAGUCGCGUGAGGGAAUAAGGCCCUACGGGUCGUAAACCUCUUUUGCCGGGGAGCAAGCGCCGGGACGCGUCCCGGCCCGGAGAGUACCCGGAGAAAAAGCAUCGGCUAACUCCGUGCCAGCAGCCGCGGUAAUACGGAGGAUGCGCGCGUUAUCCGGAUUUAUUGGGUUUAAAGGGUGCGUAGGCGGGCUUUUAAGUCAGCGGUAAAAAUUCGGGGCUCAACCCCGUCCGUCCCUUGAAACUGGG
rnacentral:rRNA from 1 species